GACGUAGGGGGCGAGCGUUGUCCGGAUUUACUGGGCGUAAAGAGCGCGUAGGCGGUCUGUUAAGUGUAGAGUGAAAUCUCCAGGGCUCAACCCGGAAACUGCUCUGCAUACUGGCAGACUAGAGGAAGGCAGAGGUGAAUGGAAUUCCCGGUGGAGCGGUGAAAUGCAUAGAUAUCGGGAGGAACACCAAUGGCGAAGGCAGUUCACUGGGCCUUUCCUGACGCUGAGGCGCGAAAGCGUGGGUAGCAAACAGG
rnacentral:misc_RNA from 1 species